GUAGGGAAUAUUGGGCAAUGGAUGCAAGUCUGACCCAGCCAUCCCGCGUGCCGGAAGAAGGCCCUCAGGGUUGUAAACGGCUUUUGACGGUGAAGAAUCGACAGGAUGCGUCCUGUUUUGACGGUAGCCGUUGAAUAAGCACCGGCUAACUCCGUGCCAGCAGCCGCGGUAAUACGGCGGGUGCGAGCGUUGUCCGGAUUUAUUGGGUUUAAAGGGUGCAUAGGCUGGAAGGUCAGUCAGCGGUGAAAAGCUGUCGCUUAACGAUAGUCUUGCCGCAGAUACUUCCUUUCUUGGAUGAGGAGGAGGCCACUGGAACGGAUGGUGUAGCGGUGAAAUGCAUAGAUAUCAUCCAGAACACCGAUUGCGAAGGCAGGUGGCUGUACCUUAAUCGACGCUGAUGCACGAAAGCAUGGGGAGCAAACAGGAUUAGAAACCCUUGUAGUCC
rnacentral:rRNA from 1 species